GGCGGGGUGGAGCAGCCUGGUAGCUCGUCGGGCUCAUAACCCGAAGGUCGUCGGUUCAAAUCCGGCCCCCGCAA
rnacentral:tRNA from 1 species